rnacentral:lncRNA from 1 species
GAAUGCAAUACAUACCUGAUAAGGACUGCUCUACCCACAAAAGUGAGAAUUUUCCCUUUCCAACCCUGAGUUCUAUUUGCUAUUUUGGCCACCACAUUUUCAAAGUAGCAAAUUUUCUUUCUCCCAGGGUAAAUAGGGCACCCAAAUAAGUAAAAGGGAAUUAUAGUUGAACGAGUUUUCGAAGAUACCAGGAAUGUAGAUUUUCUUUUAUUCACCAUUUGUCCUGAGGCUUGUUCAUAGUUCCCCAACUUCAUCAUCAUGGAAAUAGAUAACAAGUCACCAGAAGAGACGAGGAUUGUGUCAUCGGCAUAUGUGAGGUAUGUGACUAAAGGACUUCCUCGAUACAUAAAAAAAUUAAUAAAAUUAUCAUGUACUAGUUGGUCC